AUCUAACUGUUCAAAUGGUCCUGUUACAAUGAGUAAAUAGCAUUCUGAUUGUACUGGGGAAAUUAAAAAUAUUGCAAUAGUUACAAUAAUAAUUGUCUAGGAUUGAUGAAGCGAUUAGUUAAACGUAAUAACAGGUAUGUACUGGCACAAUUUUUUAAUUUCAAUUUGAAUUUAUAAUUGUGUAUGUUGAUCAAAUGUCACUAUUGUUUAUGAAACAGUGCAACAUUUUUAAUUAUACAAUUUUCAAUCAUAUUCAAUAAGUUUUGUGAAUUGAAAAAAGAACCUAAUAAGGUAUUUAAAAUGAAUGAACCAAAAAUUACCAUUAAAAUAAUUUAUACAAUUAUUUAAUUAAUCAAUUUAACACAAACUCUUUUGUAUAUUAAUAAUUUGUAGAAAAAUUGAAUAGUUUAAUGAACAAUAGCUUAGAAAAUAUACCAUAAAAAUGUUUAAAUUUAUUAAAUAACUUUUACUGAUAAUAAUAAUAUGUAUAUAAAUAUAGNCACGGACAACCUUCGGUGUGGUGUUAGCUCGCCGAUAAACUGAUUAGGUUCCAGAGUAAUACCCCGGUUUGUAGCCGCGCCUGCUUGCGAGGCUGUUCGACCUAGAGCUUUGCUCGAGUCAGCAUGACUCAUAACCACAUAGUCACUUCAGUGACAGCUACCACGAAACCAUUCCGCAUCGGUCGAAAUCAAUAGUUUAAUGAACAAUAGCUUAGAAAAUAUACCAUAAAAAUGUUUUGGUGUAAAUUUUGGUGUAAUUAUUUUGAUUGCAACAUCCUUAAUAUAAGUUAUUUUAUAUUUUAUACAUACUGAAAGCACUAGAUACAACUAAAUUGUUGUUAGUCAACUAAUGAAAUCUACCAUAGUUGAUUAUGAUUAUAUGAUAAUAAUUUUUUAUCUGUUGCAAUUUCAUGAAUAUUUAGUUUAAUUUAUAAUGUGAUUUAGCAAAUUUGCAAAUAAGAUUUAUUGCCAUUAAGCAAACUAACCAUUAUGCAAUUUCUGUUUACAAAAUGUCACCAAGUGAAAAAAAUCAGAUUUAUAAAAUAUAUAUGUUUAAAUGCCUUAUUUUAUUCUUAUAUAUGUAAAAAUAAUGUUUCUAAGUGAUAUCAUAAAUAGUUUAUGUACCACAUAACAUUUUUGGCAAAAUUGAAUAAAAUGUAAUCUUAAUUUGAAAGUGAAAAAAAAAUUAAUUUUAAAUUAUUGAGACAAUUUUUAUAUUUGAGGUUUUUUUAUUAUCUACCUGUGUUAUAUUGAAUUAUGAUUGAGUUUAUCAAAUUUUUUCAGGAUAAGGCAGUCACAUUUUAUGUCCAAGCAUAUCAUUUAGCAACAAAUGGAAAUUGAACUGUCAUGUUUAUGGAUUAGUUUGCUAUCAGUUCUAUCAAAACUCAACCUAGUUUACAUUAAAAGUAAAUAUUUUAUUAUAUUUGUAUAUGCAAGCCUGAAUAUUAAAAUAGCCUAUGUAAUAAAAUAAAAUAAAAAAAUCAAUCGGUUAGAUAAAUACUUGAUAAAAUAUGAAAAUAUACAAAUUAAAUAAAUGAAUAAAAAAAUAUAUAUGGCCCAUAACAUUAAGAUCUGUCACCUAAAAUCACUUUUGUUCUGUUCAAUAAUUUUAAGUUCUUUUCUUGUGAUAAUUAUUGGAGCCUUGUGUUAUGUUUCCUUUAUUGUAUUUUUUAUAUUCUUUUUGAAACUGAAAAUAGAAAUAUAAUUUAAAGUUACAAUUUUAAAGAUAUAUUAUGAAACAAUAUUUUGAUGUGAAUAAUAAUAACACUAAUACUAAUAAUUUUAAAAAGUUUUUAAUAUUAAUACUCAUUAUUUAUAUAAAAAUCAUCAGUAUGAGUAUUUUUUAAAACAUACCUUGCUAAUAAAUAAUUAAGAAAAGCAUACAUUAAUUUAAUUUUAGAAAUAUGCUUUUUGUAUGUAUUUUUAGUGUUUCUAAUAGUUUUCUUUUAAUGUAUAAUGUAUUACAAUUAAAUGGCAUAUGUAUUAUGAGGUUAAGGAAAUUAGCUUAAACAAAUAUUGAAUUUAUAGACAGUUGAAUCCGAUUUUUAUUUGGUGAUUAUCUCAACCUUCAACCACACACCUUGUGUUAGUCUGUUGCUAUUUAGGAGGUGCGGAGGUUCAAGAGUUUCCGGAGCUGCGAGCUUGAGUCGUUCUAAGGACUACCAGCACUGCAGGACUCUGAGAACAUGGAGCCUCGCGUACCAAUGGGUUAGGGCCAAGCGCCACCCGUCCUCGCUGUUGGUAUGGCCGCAGUCUGCUUCACUGCUUUCCGUUUUUGGUCACGGACAACCUUCGGUGUGGUGUUAGCCCGCUGAUAAACUGAUUAGGUUCUAGAGUAAUACCCCGGUUUGUAGCCGCGCCUGCUUGCGAGGCCGUUCGACCUAGAGCUUUGCUCGAGUCAGCAUGACUCAUAACCACAUAGUCACUUCAGUGACAGCUACCACGAAACCAUUCCGCAUCGGUCGAAAUCCGGCCGAGACCGGAAACCGGCCGCUGUGACGGGCCACCACCCCAAGGUCCUCGAGGGCUCCCGCCUCCCAUGGUACCAGCCUUAACAUCGCUGUUGGGGUGCUCGACCUGGAGCAUCGUCAGGUUUUAGCCUUCUGCUGCGGUCUCCCCGGAUUGGGGAGGCAUACCCGAGCUCUGGGUAGGCUCUUACACGGAGCGCUCACUCCUGUUUUUGCCCAUUAGUCACCUUCUAUGCUUAUAUACCUACCUCAUAGGCUUACUGUUGCCACCAUUCUGCUCCCCGGGCAACAGGGAGUUGAAUUUACAGACAGUAGGUUUUAAAAUUAUGUUCUGCAUCAAUAUUUUGUAAGGUAUAAUAAACAAUAAAAAUUCUCAAAUCAGUCAUUUCAUCCCAUUUUAAAAUCUUUUUAGUCUGUUUUACAAGGCUAAAUGGCUACCUGGACCAUGAUUUGAAAUAGAAUUGGUUUCCUACUUGUGUUUCCGAAUAGUUUUUUACGAUGUAUUUCUUAUAUUAGUUUUAUAUUCAAAUUUUUCAGUUAUGUUAUUCUAUUACCUGGUUUUAGUUUUUUAAAAUCGAAACCUCUGUAUAAACAUUAUUUUAUAAUAAAUUUGCUUUAUUUUUGUUAUUUUUCUGUAUAUCUUUAUUUCUCUAUAUUCCAUAUAUUAUAUCAGUGUAUUAUAAAUUAU
rnacentral:lncRNA from 1 species